GGUACCGACAAUUUAUAUGAAUUAUACGAGUACGAAAUUAAACAGUACAUAUUGAAGAGUGCUAUAGAAAGGGGUCUUGUAGUUGUCUGAGGAUGGAACUCUCUCCUCUUACUAGUGGAAAAUUUGCUUUGUUGAGACAGGGCAGCCACAGGCUAUCGGAAAUGUAUUCUUAGCAUGUAUAUAGCCUGCUGCUGCAAGAGGAUACUUGAGUGUUAGAUACAUGGUGUUCUGAAUUCACUUUUGUAUAAGCAAACUAGGCAGACAUCUCUCUCUCUCUCUCUGAUCUCUUCUCGAUCCUCUAUAUGUUUCGUUGGUUUUCACCUCCAUGAAAUAGUCAAAUGGGGUGGCUGCAAUCCCUCUUUUCUCCCUUGAAGAAGCUGUGGUUUCGCAAGCAUUCAACAACUCAUAAGAAGACUGAAGAUAUAAACAUUCUGCACGAAGACGUCAAGUCCUGCCAGUAUGAAGAUGUUCAUGUUCUCUGGUCUAUAUUAGUAGAUUCCCAGACACCUCCUCUAACAUCCAAACGAUGAGCAAUGGGGGUUAUUGCCUUCCCCAGCAACCAAUCAAUCAGGGAUAAUUUCUGCAAAGUUUCUAAAAAGUUGUAAUGUUAAUAAUUGAGAACUCUUAA